AAUGAACGUUGGCGGCGUGGAUUAGGCAUGCAAGUCGUGCGCGAAACGUAGCAAUACGUGGAGAGCGGCGAAAGGGAGAGUAAUACAUGGUUAGCUACCCUCGGGACUGGGAUAGCGGCGGGAAACUGCCGGUAAUACCAGAUGACGUCUUCGGACCAAACGUGUAAACCGGCCCGAGGAGGUGACCAUGUCCUAUCAGCUUGUUGGCGGGGUAACGGCCCACCAAGGCAAAGACGGGUAUGGGGCGUGAGAGCGUCGCCCCCACUCACUGGGACUGAGAACUGCCCAGACACCUACGGGUGGCAG
rnacentral:rRNA from 1 species